AUGCUGCACAGUCACUCUUGCCUGAUCUCUGUGGGUUGCAGGGAGCUGCUGUCGCCUUAAAAAAGAAGAUAGUGCUUGCUGUGUCAUAUCUUUCCCUUGAAAGUGGCUCGACUGCAUUGGAAAGCUUCGCAAAGAUAUUACUGUAUGUGAAAAUAUUCCCAGAAGGCAACACCAGGUGGAGAAAAGUUGCAUGAAAUGAUGGGGAAGGUCUCUUGAAGGAAACACCUGGACACUACUACUAACUUCACCAGGAUUUAGGAGAGCUUGUGAUCUGUCCUGAUUUGCUAGGAGCUUCAAGAAGAUGAUGUUCAAGUAAAGAUUGGCACACACAUCCUGGGAAAUGCUGAUAUAUUUUUUUUUUUUAAAUACUGAACAACAAUAAACUUGUAAAAUGAUACUGUUUUGACAGAGAUGGAAAAAUAUUCAUAACAAAUCUUGCAUGUUAUGUGAUUGUUCCAUGUAUGUGGAGGAGCCAUGCACUGUCAGCCGACAUGAAAGUGUUGGUAACAAUAUGUGUAAAAUGCAGAUCUACAAUAGCAAUACUUUGGGUAUGUGACAGCCAACCAUUUCUUGAAACCUUGAAAGCCCUUACAAUGCUUGAGGUAAUAUGCAGAUUUAUACACUUCCUCCCCUGAGGUAAUGUUAAAACAGGGUGCAUUCAUUCAAAUUGCUGUGUACAUAAAGAUCAUUGCCCUAAGUGCAGAUGAGCAUGCACAUGUUAAUUACAAGUGAUAUCACAGUAUCAACACACAGGUCCUCGCAGAUACAAACUGUACUGCAGUAGCCAGCAUAUUACCCUGAAAAUAAGCAGAGCUGGAUGGGUGAAUGACAGCAAAAUGUCACAUAUGUAUGCUGAGCCUUGGCAUUCCACAAUUCCCCGGAACAUUCCCAUUACAUUUUAGAAGCCUAGCAAGGUUCAAGAAGGCAGACAGAGGCUCUCUGGGCAUUGGGUAAGUAGAGCCUUGCAGAAGAUAAGGAAAAUCAUGGAGAGAGGCAGGGCACAGUGGAGGAUUAUCAGGAACAUUAGAAGAAUGAAUGAGACUUCAGAAUUAGAAUUAACUGUUAUUUUAUACAGUGUUUUCCUUCUGGAGAUACAGCUGUGUAUCAUUCAUUGUUAAAUAAACAUGCCCAAUAUUGUUCUUUACUCACA